GGGGUUGUAGCUCAGUGGUAGAGCGCUUGCCUCACAUGCAUGAGAUAGUGAGUUCAAUCCUCAGCACUA
rnacentral:tRNA from 1 species